rnacentral:rRNA from 1 species
CUUCGGAAUCUUGAGAGCGGCGCACGGGUGCGGAACACGUGUGCAACCUACCUUUAUCAGGGGGAUAGCCUUUCGAAAGGAAGAUUAAUACCCCAUAAUAUAUUGAAUGGCAUCAUUUAAUAUUGAAAACUCCGGUGGAUAGAGAUGGGCACGCGCAAGAUUAGAUAGUUGGUGAGGUAACGGCUCACCAAGUCAAUGAUCUUUAGGGGGCCUGAGAGGGUGAUCCCCCACACUGGUACUGAGACACGGACCAGACUCCUACGGGAGGCAGCAGUGAGGAAUAUUGGACAAUGGGUGAGAGCCUGAUCCAGCCAUCCCGCGUGAAGGACGACGGCCCUAUGGGUUGUAAACUUCUUUUGUAUAGGGAUAAACCUUUCCACGUGUGGAAAGCUGAAGGUACUAUACGAAUAAGCACCGGCUAACUCCGUGCCAGCAGCCGCGGUAAUACGGAGGGUGCAAGCGUUAUCCGGAUUUAUUGGGUUUAAAGGGUCCGUAGGCGGACUCGUAAGUCAGUGGUGAAAUCUCAUAGCUUAACUAUGAAACUGCCAUUGAUACUGCGGGUCUUGAGUAAGGUAGAGGUAGCUGGAAUAAGUAGUGUAGCGGUGAAAUGCAUAGAUAUUACUUAGAACACCAAUUGCGAAGGCAGGUUACCAUGUCUUAACUGACGCUGAUGGACGAAAGCGUGGGGAGCGAACAGGAUUAGAUAACCCUGGUAGUCCACGCCGUAAACGAUGCUAACUCGUUUUUGGGUCUUCGGAUUCAGAGACUAAGCGAAAGUGAUAAGUUAGCCACCUGGGGAGUACGAACGCAAGUUUGAAACUCAAAGGAAUUGACGGGGGCCCGCACAAGCGGUGGAUUAUGUGGUUUAAUUCGAUGAUACGCGAGGAACCUUACCAAGGCUUAAAUGGGAAUUGAUCGGUUUAGAAAUAGACCUUCCUUCGGGCAAUUUUCAAGGUGCUGCAUGGUUGUCGUCAGCUCGUGCCGUGAGGUGUUAGGUUAAGUCCUGCAACGAGCGCAACCCCUGUCACUAGUUGCUAACAUUCAGUUGAGGACUCUAGUGAGACUGCCUACGCAAGUAGAGAGGAAGGUGGGGAUGACGUCAAAUCAUCACGGCCCUUACGCCUUGGGCCUCGCACGUAAUACAAUGGCCGGUACAGAGGGCAGCUACACAGCGAUGUGAUGCAAAUCUCGAAAGCCGGUCUCAGUUCGGAUUGGAGUCUGCAACUCGACUCUAUGAAG